rnacentral:rRNA from 1 species
CAGUAGCCGCGGGAAUACGUAGGGUGCGAGCGUUGUCCGGAAUUACUGGGCGUAAAGAGCUCGUAGGUGGUCUGUCGCGUCAUUUGUGAAAGCCCGGUGCUUAACUCCGGGUUGGCAGGUGAUACGGGCAUGACUGGAGUACUGUAGGGGAGACUGGAAUUCCUGGUGUAGCGGUGAAAUGCGCAGAUAUCAGGAGGAACACCGGUGGCGAAGGCGGGUCUCUGGGCAGUAACUGACGCUGAGGAGCGAAAGCAUGGGUAGCGAACAGGAUUAGAUACCCCCGUAGUCCCUGUCUCUUAUU